UACAAAGGGGGCAAGCGUUAUUCGGAAUUAUUGGGCGUAAAGGGCGCGUAGGCGGCCUGGCAAGUGGAAGGUGAAAUCCCUCGGCUUAACCGAGGAACUGCCUCCCAAACUGCUUGGCUUGAGACCGGGAGAGGUGAGUGGAAUUCCCAGUGUAGCGGUGAAAUGCGUAGAUAUUGGGAGGAACACCAGUGGCGAAGGCGGCUCACUGGACCGGUACUGACGCUGAUGCGCGAAAGCGUGGGGAGCAAACGGG
rnacentral:rRNA from 1 species